GCUUUUUAAUACGCUGGCUCCUUCAAGGAGCUCCUUAAGAUAAGGAGGCAUGAAGGGCUCCUCACGUAAGGUAAGGGAAUGGUCUGAGAUCGCAUUCAAUCUGCCUUUUUCACGACGCCCCUGCACAUGCGCUAUCCCCUAGCAGAAAAGCCACGAAACCUCUCGUCAUCUCGGAGGCUCUGCUUCUGGCAACACCGGUUGUCCCGGCCCCUACCAAAACGGCAGAGGGCAGCAGAGGAAAAUGAGAAAGGCGGAUUGGAAAAUUACCUCCCAACCACAUCGUGAGGAAAGCUGCCAAAGGUGAUAUUCUACCGAUUCCUUUGGAGGAAGUACGAAAAUGACAGAAGAGGACAGUGGAUCAGGGCUGUGCAACGAACAAGGCCGGAGAGGCAGCUGUGGCAGCCUGUGCGGGGCUGCCACAAACAAGAGCUCCGCUGCGAUGCACCCUUCUUAUCUGCCAAUGAUGUUUCCGUCGUGCGGCGGAAGAAGCAACGGCGUUUAACCGCGAAAAUAAACAAAUUAAGGCUCGCGAUCCUACAUUUAGAGAGCACUGAAACACAACCACAAAAACGCCCAAACCUAUUGACAAUGCACGACCACAGCAAGGGUCCCACCAGCGCAACGCUGCGCUCGCAGCUCGUCGGCUCGUCUGAGCGCUCCGCGAACAGCCCUGCGCGCUGCUACGCUAACGAAAAAACAAUAUGAAAAAGCAGAGAGAGGUUAACUAGCGACAUUGCUGAGCGGUGGAAGCAAGAAGAGGUGUUGCAUCGUCGGUGUGGCGUAUUGUCGAGAGAUGGCGCUAGUUUGUUUUUGCGCAACGAA
rnacentral:lncRNA from 1 species